GAGGAGACAGGUGGUGCAUGGUUGUCGUCAGCUCGUGUCGUGAGAUGUUGGGUUAAGUCCCGCAACGAGCGCAACCCCUACGUUUAGUUGCUAACGCGUGAAGGCGAGCACUCUAGACGAACUGCCGUUGACAAAACGGAGGAAGGUGGGAUGACGUCAAAUCAUCAUGCCCCUUAUGUUCUGGGCUACACACGUGCUACAAUGGCCGGUACAGACGGACGCAAAGCCGCGAGGUGGAGCAAAUCCUAAAAAGCCGGUCUCAGUUCGGAUUGCAGGCUGCAAUUCGCCUGCAUGAAGUCGGAAUCGCUAGUAAUCGCAGGUCAGCAUACUGCGGUGAAUACGUUCCCGGGCCUU
rnacentral:rRNA from 1 species